GGUCUUUGGCGACUAAUUUUUAGCAGCAAUAACGCUAUUGCUGGCAAUUUACUUGAAAGGUUAAAAAAUUUGUGGCAAUUAAUUGAUGAAUACCUGCAAUUAUGACAAUUGCUACUAAAAAUUGUAACUUCGCGUUAUAACUACUUUACCACUUUUUUCUCUUUUCGUUAACCUUUUUUAUCUGAUUGCGGAGCCUUUUUCUUCGUGCUGUGAGAGAAGCGGAGAGGCGGUGAAGGUGAACCAGAGGCGGCGGCGUCGAACCCUAGCAGUGCCGUCCAGAGGAAGCGCAGUGGUGUCCAUCGAUCUUGACGGCGAGCCAAAUUGAGAUCGCGCAUAGUGCAGGAAAUGAUAGAAUUCUCCAUUUUCCCGAGAAAGUGAAAGAUCUCUUCUCUCACUCUGUUUCAAUCUCUUCACUCCUUUUGUUCUUGAUGUGUAGGUAAUCGGAAUCACGCCGAUGAUGACGAUUGAAAACCACCUCGUGUUGUUUGCUCCCAUUGCAACGGUAAUAGCAGCUAGACGAAGCAGAAGCACAUCUUCCCCCUGUGACUGCAAGCUUCACCGAGCAUUGAAUUUUUCUUGGUUGAUUGUGUAUUGAGCAAAGGGAGCAGAAGGUUUCGAUGGGACACAAUGAGUGGCGUGUUCAAGCCUUCAAGGGAUAUGAACGCCUAAAAGCUUUCCGUGAAUCAAGUAAAAAAAUGUGCGCCGCAGCUGGUGCUCUUGAUGGAGUAUCUGUGUAGCAUCUUCACAAAAGUAAAGCUUGAGUGCUUGACAUAAAGUGCUGGAGAUUUAAAUUUAUAAGCUUUUGAAGGACAAUAACCAAGAAACUAAAUAACAUAGGAAUGCUUGAUACAGGAAAUAGUCAUGAUGCUUUCUAUAUCAGGAGCAAUCUCCAGUUCUUAAGCUUCAAGAAGAUCCAAAUAUCCAUGAUAUUCAUGACUGAUGUAACUGCAAUAUCAGAACAGAUACUAAGUAUUUGCACUAGAGCACCCAAAGAAUAAUCUCUUGGAAAUAAGAUAUCAAGAGCAAAACAAAUUCACUUUUGUUACUUUGUAUAGUGUACAACUGCAAUAAAUGUCUUCCUAAAUUCUAGUUUUAUUACAUUGUGGCACUCCUGCUUUAAUUGUAGUUCUGGCAGCUAAUAUAAAUUCAGGCUUUCUCUUCUACUUGCUUUAAGAUUUGUUGGGUGAAUCCUUGAAUGAUUGCGACACUUCUCUAUAUUUUUCACUAUUUUAUUUUAGGCUUAAAUAAGUUUUUGGUCCCUAACUUUUACCAAAUGCUUGGUUUUCGUCCCUCGCCGGAGCAAAGGUGGGCUUUAGUCCCUAACCUUUGUCAAAAGGUUUGGUUUUGGUCCCUCCGGAGCUUUGAGUCAACGCCGGAGCUCCGGUAGCCCAUGUGGCAUAGCCACGUCAGAUUAAUAAGGCCAGGUGGAAUUUUUUAUUUUUACUUUAAAUUAUUAAACAAAAAUUAAGGUACAUCAUCACUUUCAAAAAAAAAAAAAUCUGGUACAUCAUCAUCUUCAUCCAAGCCAUCACCUGCAGUCCUUCAUUAUCACCUUCAUCCUCAAACCAGAAAACCAUACCAGAAACAACAACCCCUCAAAGCCAUGAUCAGAAAGGGAUGAAGGAGGAACAACAACUCCAAACUGUGGACGUGGGUCUUCGAUCGCGUCGCGACAGCAGGGGUGUCGCACCUCCGUCGGAGCCGUCCAUCUCCGCCGUUCUCCACUUCGGGUUUCAGUAACAACCAUCGUGACCCCAGAUCCAACCUUCAUCUUCUUCACCCUUCACAUCGAUCAUCUACCUUUCACCCUCUGUUCAUCAUCUCUUCUUCACCAGUUCACCAUCCAUCUUUUAGAUCUCCAAAUUUCACCACCCAAAUCUCCUAGAUCUGCCUGGUUGUGGAGUAAAAAUGGGUCAUUUGCCUCUCUUCUGUGUCGAUUUGGCCUCCAGAGUGACGAUGGGUAUAGUGGGUGGGGAUUACGAGUUCUGGGUUGCAGUGGGGGUUGCGGGUUGCGGCUUCUGGUGUGCGGUAGCCGGUGGGUGAGCAUUUGUUUCGGUUUGGUGAUGAAAGUACUGGCAGCGAGAUCAGGCAUUUUGCAUGUUCUUCAAUCUCUUGAAUCAAACCCAUUUUACUAUGAGCUCAUUCCUUUCAUCACAAACUGAAUCUAGACAGUUUCGUGCUGAGAACUUUUCCUUUUUUUUUGAUUCAAAGUUUUAUUUUGUACAAUCUUUAAUCCUAGUGAAUCCUUCCUUCCAAUGUGAAUCCUUCCAUUUUCCUUUUUCUGAGUUUGUAUGAAAGCUCUGUGCCAGUGCCUAUGGUGUUAAGAAAUGUUUAAGAAGAUGAUGGAUUUAA